AACGCACGAGACCUGCGGACCUGCGGAAGGAUCAUUAAUGAGAAGCUGCCCCUCGUGGGUAGACCUCCCACCCUCUGUGAACUUACCUUUGUUGCCUUGGCAGGCCCGUCCUCUGGACCGCCGGCUUCGGCUGGCCCGUGCCUGCCAGAGGAUUCCAAACCCUGUCUGUCAGUGUUGUCUGAGUCUAUAUGAAAUCGUUAAAACUUUCAACAACGGAUCUCUAGAUCGGAAGAGCACACG
rnacentral:misc_RNA from 1 species